rnacentral:rRNA from 1 species
GAUGAACGCUGGCGGCGUGCCUAAUACAUGCAAGUCGAGCGAACAGACGAGGAGCUUGCUCCUCUGACGUUAGCGGCGGACGGGUGAGUAACACGUGGAUAACCUACCUAUAAGACUGGGAUAACUUCGGGAAACCGGAGCUAAUACCGGAUAAUAUAUUGAACCGCAUGGUUCAAUAGUCAAAGACGGUUUUGCUGUCACUUAUAGAUGGAUCCGCGCCGCAUUAGCUAGUUGGUAAGGUAACGGCUUACCAAGGCAACGAUGCGUAGCCGACCUGAGAGGGUGAUCGGCCACACUGGAACUGAGACACGGUCCAGACUCCUACGGGAGGCAGCAGUAGGGAAUCUUCCGCAAUGGGCGAAAGCUUGACGGAGCAACGCCGCGUGAGUGAUGAAGGUCUUCGGAUCGUAAAGCUCUGUUAUUAGGGAAGAACAAAUGUGUAAGUAACUAUGCACGUCUUGACGGUACCUAAUCAGAAAGCCACGGCUAACUACGUG